rnacentral:tRNA from 1 species
GCCCAUGGUGCUAGUGGUAAAAGGCAGCACCAAUGAUGCUGAGGUUGUGGGUUCAAAUCCCACCAGACA